CAGGUUAGAGAGACACAGUAUGAGAAGUUGAGGCAGGGCAGAUGUAACACUAUGGAUUACAUUUAGUGAAAAUCCCACAAAUCAAGGAAAUCAUACACAACAGUGGAGGCUUCUCAGAGGAGGAAGGGAAGGACCAUCCUACUCAGUGAAUUUCAGAAAAAUGUAAAGAGUCAAAUCCUGUCCUGCCCUCAGUGGAAGAGUUGAGCUCUGCUCCAACACCAUCCAUCCAUCCAUCCAUGAUGAGCCUGUCCUGCACUGAAGCCUAUGAACACCUCAACCCCUGUCCUACACUGAAUUCAAGUCUCUGAACA